CCUCUCGUGGCGUAGGGGUAACGCACCCUAACUAUGGAUCAGGGAGUCGUAAGCUCGAUUCUCACCGAAAAGA
rnacentral:tRNA from 1 species